CGUCCGACGGAGAGGCCGUGGAGCUUGCCAGCGAGACGCUCAUGAAACGCGAGUUGACGAGCUUCGCGGUACUACUCCCCCAGGGCG
rnacentral:pre_miRNA from 1 species